UCCCGGUUUCCCGGGCAGUCUCGCCAGAGUGCUCACCGAAGUGAUAGCAACUGACGACAAGAGUUGCGCUCGUUAGAGGACUUAACCAAACAUCUCACGACACGAGCUGACGACAACCAUGCAGCACCUGUGCAAUUGUCCGAGCAAGCCCGGAAGACUGUGUUUCCACAGCUGUCAAAAGCAUGUCAAGCCUAGGUAAGGUUCCUCGCGUAAUAUCGAAUUAAACCACAUGUUCCACCGCUUGUGCGGACCCCCGUCAAUUUCUUUGAGUUUUAAUCUUGCGAUCGUAGUCCCCAGGCGGAUCACUUAACGCGUUAGCUACGACACCGAUCCCACAAUGUGGAACCGACAUCUAGUGAUCAUCGUUUACAGCGUGGACUAC
rnacentral:misc_RNA from 1 species